rnacentral:rRNA from 1 species
CCUACGGGAGGCAGCAGUGGGGAAUAUUGGACAAUGGGGGCAACCCUGAUCCAGCGAUGCCGCGUGUUUGAAGAAGGCCUGCGGGUUGUAAAGCACUUUCGGUGGUGAGGAUGGCUAGUGGGAUGAAUAAGCCGACUAGUUGACGCUAACCACAGAAGAAGCACCGGCUAACUCUGUGCCAGCAGCCGCGGUAAU